UGUAUUAAAGAAUUAAAUGGAUGAAAUAUGAAGUUUUAUUAAAAGAAAAAGGGGUGAAAAGAACAAAGUUUUGUCCAUCUUUGUUCAUCAUAGCUGAAAGUUAGAGAAGAGAAAGGAGAGGAGAAAGCUCUUGAGUAUUCGGUCAUUAGGAGGAGGAAAAUUGAAGGCGGUUCGUGUGUGGAUCUCGUCAACAUAUCGUCGCAAACAGGUGAGUCUUGAUGUGGGUGACUUGGAGCCGGAGGGA